GACGUAGGGCGCGAGCGUUGUCCGGAUUUACUGGGCGUAAAGGGCGCGUAGGCGGUCAGCACAAGUCAGUUGUGAAAUCUCCGGGCUUAACUCGGAAAGGUCAACUGAUACUGUGCGACUAGAGUGCGGAAGGGGCAACUGGAAUUCUUGGUGUAGCGGUGAAAUGCGUAGAUAUCAAGAGGAACACCUGCGGCGAAGGCGGGUUGCUGGGCCGACACUGACGCUGAGGCGCGAAAGCCAGGGGAGCGAACGGG
rnacentral:rRNA from 1 species